AGAGUUUGAUCAUGGCUCAGCUUGAACGCUGGCGGCAUGGCUAAAGCAUGCAAGUCGAACGCGAAUCCACCUUCGGGUGGUAGUAGAGUGGCGAACGGGCGAGGAAUGCGUUCCUAACGUGCCCCAAGGUCGGGGAUAGCUCGGGGAAACCCGGGGUAAUACCCGAUGAUCCCAGGCGAUCGCAUGGUUGCCUGAGCAAAGGCUUGCCACCUUGGGAUCGGGGAAAGCACUAUCAGGUAGUUGGUAAGGUAACGGCUUACCAAGCCUAUGACGGUUAGCGGGUGUGAGAGCAUGACCCGCCGCAUCGGAACUGAGACACUGUCCGGACUCCUACGGGAGGCUGCAGCAACGAAUCUUCCGCAAUGCACGAAAGUGUGACGGAGCAAUGCCGCGUGCAGGAUGAAGCCCCUCGGGGUGUAAACUGCUGUCAGAAUUUAGUAAUAAAGUGAACAAAUUCAAAGGAAGGGCCGGCUAACUUCGUGCCAGCAGCCGCGGUAAUACGAAGGGCCCGAGCGUUGCGCGGAAUCACUGGGCUUAAAGGGUGUGUAGGCGGAAGCGUCAGUGUCUUGUGAAAGCCCACGGCUCAACCGUGGAAUUGCAGGGCAUACUGCGUUUCUUGAGUGUGGUAGAGGCUGUCGGAACUAUAGGUGUAGCGGUGAAAUGCGUAGAUAUCUAUAGGAACAUCGAAGACGAAGGUAGGCAGCUGGGCCAUUACUGACGCUGAGACACGAAAGCGUGGGGAGCAAACAGGAUUAGAUACCCUGGUAGUCCACGCCGUAAACGAUGUACACUAGGUCCCGGAGGUUCUGACACCAUCGGGGUCGAAGCAAAAGCGCUAAGUGCACCGCCUGGGGAGUACGGUCGCAAGGCUAAAACUCAAAGGAAUUGACGGGGCUCACACAAGCGGUGGAGCAUGUGGCUUAAUUCGAGGCAACGCGAAGAACCUUAUCCAGGGUUUGACAUGCACGGAUUAGGUCCUGGAAACAGGGCUAACACUCUUUGCUUGGAACAUACACAGGUGCUGCAUGGCUGUCGUCAGCUCGUGCUGUGAAGUGUCGGGUUAAGUCCCUUAACGAGCGAAACCCCUGCCGUUAGUUGCCAGCGAGUAAAGUCGGGGACUCUAGCGGGACUGCCGGUGUCAAACCGGAGGAAGGUGGGGAUGACGUCAAGUCCUCAUGGCCUUUAUGCCCAGGGCUGCACACGUGCUACAAUGGCAAGUACAAAGCGAAGCGAUAUCGUAAGGUGGAGCAAAUCGCAAAAAGCUUGCCCCAGUUCGGAUUGUGGUCUGCAACUCGACCACAUGAAGUUGGAAUCGCUAGUAAUCGCGUAUCAGCUACGACGCGGUGAAUACGUUCCUGAGCCUUGUACACACCGCCCGUAA
rnacentral:rRNA from 1 species